CACACGAUGACCACAGAACACUCGCAUGGCACCAUCCGCUCCUCCCCGGACCCCGGGUCAUUCCAUAUCACCUGGGAAUUUGGCCUGUUUCUUCAUGUUAAAGAUAAAUAAUUCAGGCACUGUGUCUUUAGCUCUCCAAAGCACAAUCAGUUCUCCAUCAUCUAGAGUGCACAGGAUGAGCUGGGUAAUGGAAAUCCUCACCUGGUGCUGCACAGCAAGGAGAGCAAGGGAAAGGCAAGGCCAGAAGGAGGGAUACAAAUCCUGGUUUCUGGAGGUGUGCUGAUGCUCACUGCACCUUACCUGCUCCAGAUGCUGGAUCUGGAGCCCUGGUCCAAAUGAGGGUCCCACUGCAGCAGCAUGGAUCUGCAGGAAUGUCCAGCAAGGCAAGUGUCCACCUGGUCCUGUUUUUCCAUGGCUCCAUUCUCCGGGGGAAACAGUUAUGAAGAAUAAUUAAAUGUAAACAUAUAAAAUGGUAGCCAAUAUUUCAUGGUUGCAUGACAGCUCAGAAUUCAUUGCUGUGUGCAAUGCAAGCAGGAACAUAGGAAAGUCAACUGCACUGCAGUCUUUGCUUCCUACCCACCUGCUGGACUUUUGGCACUGUGUCUGAUGGGAAUAUUUGUUCUCCAUGUGGUGACAACAUGAAUGCCACCAUGCCAAGGAAGAGUUCAUUGAGCCCCCACAGGUUAGGAGUGGGGCUGCAACGUCUUGCAUCCCAUCCCAUCCCAGCCUUUGUGAGGUUUGGGCUCUGGUUGGAAGUGGUGUGCCAUGGUCAACACAGUGUGUACAGCCUGGAAAGAUCUUCUCAUCAGAGCAACGCCCUUCCUCUUUGUUCCUUUAUUUUUUAAAUUAGAUUGCCCCACUGAACCACCCAUUGACCCUGCUUCUCUCCAGAUGGGAGACCAGAGAAAGGUUAUUUUCAGUCACUGUUUCACAUUUAAAAAAAAAAUCUGAUGAAAAAACAUUCUACCUCAGGCAUGAACUUUUAAUGACUUCAUUUCAUAAUCUUUUCAAAGAAAGAUUCCUGUUGAACUAACCGAGACUUUCAGCUCUUUUUGUUGCAGGCUUAAAGAGUUGGCACUGAAUGCUGCUCAGUGCUAUUUGCUCUGCUCAAUUCCCCCUGCAGGUUUUGCUAAACGUUACGGUGUGACACAGUGCAGACUCUUAUUGACAGUGAUAUCAUCUGCAUAUAAGAUCCAGCCUCACAUGUAUGUGAAGAAUAUAUUCCAGCGUGAUAUGCAGCAUGCUUGGUUGGCUGCACUGGAAAGAUUUCCAGAUAGCUAUUGAUUUUCCCAUCCUGUAAUUAGUUCAGAGAUUACCAGCAUACAAAAUAUUGCUCUAGAAAUUGAUUUCUGUAGUUGUUCAUUGCACCAAAACUACAGUAUCGCUGCGAAACACGUCACCGUGUUUUCUGCAAAGACUUUGAACUUGGGAGAAAUAUUG